UCCUGCUGCCUGGACUUGGCAGGGCUGGGGUGCGGAGAUGAGGUCUCAGCUGGCUAAACAGAUUGUCCCAAGGAAGUGAUGCCCAGGGUCUAGGCCGGAAGUCAGCAGCUGGCCUGGUGAGCCCUGCAGGAGCUCCAAGCUCCAUCCCCGCACUAAGAAUGAACACCAUACUGGCAGUUCUGAUUAUCCUGUUCCUCGUUCUCCUCCUCGUCUUAUUGAUGCUCUGUUACUACGUCUUUCAGGAGGAAUAGGCUUGGGCUUCUGCACCCUGGGACUGAGGCCCAGUGGUAGCCUUGGCCAGUCCAGCCGCCCAGGGUCUCUGCUGUCCUGUGGCCCGGGUCUGGGCCUGUUUGGGGGUCUUCAGCAGCCCCAAACCCUCACUGGAUGCUCGGACAGACUGAGAUGAAACAGAGGGUCUCUCUACCAGGGACUGCCAUUAGAAAGUACCACAAACUGGGUGGCUUAAAACAGAAAUGCAUUCCCUCACUAUUCUGGAGGUUAGAAGUCCAAAAUCAACGUGACAGCAGGGCCAUGUUCCCUCUGAAACUCUGGCCCUCAGGAGCCAGGAGCUGACUGAGACACAUGGAAUUUUUCUUACACUUCAGAAUCAAGUGAGCCCCUCUGCCAUUACAACAAAGAAAAUUUCUCUUUCUUCUCUUGCAUCAAUAUUUAAAGAUCAUCUAUUGCAGGCCAUGCAAUGAGAUGCCCCAUCCAGUUUCUAACUUCUUCACAUCCCAGCACAUACAUCCACUCCCCCAUCCUUACCCCAACAUCAGCUUCUUAGUCUUUCUCUUCCUCCCUUUUCUGAACAUCUUCCCAUUUCCCUUUUCUGUCUGAGUCCUUCAAAACCCCAAUAAGGCACACUUCCACCGUGAAGCCAUCUCAAUUUGGAAAUUGGUUGAAGUAUGAGUCUAUUCAUAGCCUGACAACUAGCCUCCAAGCUUUUCAGGAUCCACACUCUCUCACACUCGAGAUACAAAGUUAAAGAAGAAAGUAUAGUUUUCCCAGCUUCAGCCCCUCGCACAACCUUUGUCAGAAGGCAGGACACCAUAAUUGACGUUCCCAGCAAGACUGAAUUCAAUAGGAAGAGUGAAUGCCACAGAAAAUCAGAGAGAAGAGAAGGAAUAGACAGGUCAAAACUACAGACGUCCUAACCAUUUAAUAGUCGGAUUGAUGGUUGGGGAGAUGGAAUAAGGCUUGAAUACUUGGCGGGUCAGAGUUUCAACUCCGAUCCACUAGGGGGCGCGAAGAGACUGCUAGCGCGGGGUCCAUCCGGGGAUUCGCCGCUCUAGGCCCCAGCCAGACUCUCAACUGCAGUUCCGCCGGUGCCCAACAGAUGGAGGGCGGGUCCUGUCUCCGAGUCGCCGGGAACCGUUCAGCAUCUCACGUUGUCCAGUUUGACCUACAGCCGACAGUCCUGGCGCCCCGGAUCUCAAGGUCAGUGCCGUGAGUAUCGCCUGCUUGGUGCCUGGCAGGUGUCUGGUGCUCAGCAGCUGUGCAACAUCUGCCCAGCAGGAGAGAAGGACAGGUCAGACACAUCCCAGUGAGGUGGCGUGGCCCAUCACGUCAUGGAGAAUCAGGGAAAGACUGCUUGUGGCCAGCCAUCCUGGGCAGAGGUGGAGGAUCCAGCUUCCAACAUCUGUACAGAGUCAUCUGAGUUUGCACAAAAGAUGAUCUGAAAAGCCAUCUCUGUCCCAGAUGCAGAUGAGUUGUUGUCCUAUGUGGAGUAGCGAACUCCUGUCCUGGGAAUGAGAGGUGUGGCUCGUGAGUUGGGAACACAGCCCACGUUUGUGAAGCAGCCAGCUUCUCAGAGAACCAGGUACUCUGCCUGGGUUCCAGGACAUGUGGUGACCAGGUGGCAUCUAGGUUGCUCAUCCAGGACUUCUUGAUUGUUGCAGAGGAAGCAGCAUGGUGCCUGGGGGUUCCUGAGAGGUGUCCCCAUCCUGUCAAGAGGCAGCUGGCCCAGACGAGUCCACUGUGUGCAGAGGGGUCAUGGAAGCUGUCAUGUCAGGAGCAUUCUAGACCCCAGUGUCCUUGAGAUGUUGGCUUGAAGAAACGUGAGGUAACAUCGGAGAGCACCCCCCUGUUGUGACCUCCUGCCCUGUGACCUCCCCAUCACGCUGGGGGUGCUGCCUUGGAAGACGCCUCAGGGAUGGGAGCACUGGCCUCUCAGGAUGGUGAGCUGGGUCCCAGCUCCGCUGGAGGAGCCUCCUCGUGGUGAGUUACUGCCAAGGAGCUAAGUGGGCCUGUGUUUCUGAGACAGACAUUCCGAGCUGCCAGCCGCAUCUGACCGCCUCCUCUAGGUUGUUUUGGGUCUGAUCACAGCCUAGCAGACUGAAGAGGGGUGUUGCUGCAUGACCACCGCCAGCCCUUCUUCUCCUGUUGCCUCGGCCCCGUGUGACCAGGUCAGGGGCCUGGGAAAGGCCUGGGACUCUGGGGCCCUGGGAUUCACAGCUGGACACCUUCAGCUGGCUCUGCCCCUCCCCAGCAGGUGCCACAGGGCACAGCGGACCCAGAAGACUGGUUUCCUUCCAUCUGGACCAGGUCCUCCAGUGGCCUCCAUGUCCCCCUCUCUGCUCCUGGUGUAACUUUUAGAACCAGGAGCUCCUGCUGGAGGCGUCUGUACUGGGCAUCUUGUCCUCUCACCCACUUCAAUAAAUCAUGAAACUGCCCUGCC